rnacentral:lncRNA from 10 species
CCUGCGUCAGCCUCCUGGGUAGCUGGGACUACAGAUGCCCACCACCAUGCCCGGCUAAUUUUUUUUUUUUUUUUUUUUUUGUAUUUUUAGUAGAGACGGAGUUUCACCGUGUUAGCCAGGAUGGUCUCCAUCUCUUGACCUCGUGAUCCACCCACCUCAGCCUCCCAAGGUGCUGGGAUUACAGGCGGUGAGCCACCAUGCCCGGCCGAAGGGUCUGGUGGAGACCAAAGCUGCCAAUCCAAGGACCACACUUUGAGUAGCAGGCCCCAGAGGAUGCAUUUUGCAAAGAGAAAUGUGAAAAGUGCACAAAGCAUCUAUGAACCCACAGGACUUCUGUCAACAUGGAUUUCAAAGGCAAUAGCCCUGUCUCAGAGAGAAGUCUUUCUUUCAAGCCGGAGCAGCCUUGUGGAUUCUGUGCAGGGGAUGAAUUAGAGUAAAGAGCCUCAGCCAUGUUUCCUGGAGCAAUUAGAGCCCACUGUCCUCAAAUGGACUUACAUUUAUUGGCAAAAGGUGGAGUUAAUAAAGC